GAAUAUUGGACAAUGGGCGAAAGCCUGAUCCAGCCAUGCCGCGUGAGUGAUGAAGGCCUUAGGGUUGUAAAGCUCUUACAGUGGGGAAGAUAAUGACGGUACCCACAGAAGAAGCCCCGGCUAACUUCGUGCCAGCAGCCGCGGUAAUACGAAGGGGGCUGGCGUUGUUCGGAUUUACUGGGCGUAAAGGGCACGUAGGCGGGUCGUUACGCCGGGGGUGAAAUCCUGGAGCUCAACUCCAGAACUGCCUUCGAUACUGGCGACCUUGAGUCCGGAAGAGGUGAGUGGAACUCCUAGUGUAGAGGUGGAAUUCGUAGAUAUUAGGAAGAACACCAGUGGCGAAGGCGGCUCACUGGUCCGGUACUGACGCUGAGGUGCGAAAGCGUGGGGAGCAAACAGG
rnacentral:rRNA from 1 species